rnacentral:rRNA from 1 species
GAUGAACGCUGGCGGCGUGCUUAACACAUGCAAGUCGAACGAUGAAGCCCAGCUUGCUGGGUGGAUUAGUGGCGAACGGGUGAGUAACACGUGAGUAACCUGCCCUUAACUCUGGGAUAAGCCUGGGAAACUGGGUCUAAUACCGGAUAGGAGCGUCCACCGCAGGGUGGGUGUUGGAAAGAUUUAUCGGUUUUGGAUGGACUCGCGGCCUAUCAGCUUGUUGGUGGGGUAAUGGCUCACCAAGGCGAAGACGGGUAGCCGGCCUGGGAGGGUGACCGGCCACACUGGGACUGAGACACGGCCCAGACUCCUACGGUAGGCAGCAGUGGGGAAUAUUACACAAUGGGCGCAAGCCUGAUGCAGCGACGCCGCGUGAGGGAUGACGGCCUUCGGGUUGUAAACCUCUUUCAGUAGGGAAGAAGCGAAAGUGACGGUACCUGCAGAAGAAGCACCGGCUAACUACGUG